GCCAACGCCAUCUUCUUCAAAAGAUGAACAAAGAUGAACGCGGAAAAGUCAGAAAGCUCAGAAGCCUAAGAAAACAAAGGUUUGUCCUGGCACCUUCGAGAAGAUGGAAGCUGAGGAAGUAGGACUCGCUCGCCAGGGCCAGGGUGCUGGUGAAGCACCGCUCUGUCACAGCAAAAGCAGAGGCACAACGCUGAAGUGAGGAGGGAUGACUGUCACGUGGGCAAGUUUCAAGGCCCACCACCGCCUCAGUAUCCUCUCUGACCAAUGAAGGUCAGGACUCUGCAACCUGGAGCCCCAGUUAAACCUGGCUGACCAGCAAGCCCCUGGAGCCCGCCUGUCUCUGCCACACCCCAGGACUGAGGUUACAGAUGCAUUCUGCCCUGUCCAGCUUCUUAUGGUGGUUGUAUGGCUUGGGCAAGUCCUCAUGCUUGAACAACAUGCAGUUUACUGUAAGGCAUCUUGCAAGGCCCAGCUUCAGUAAGGUAAACGUCUGGGGGCUCACUGCACAUACUCUAAUUGAUUCAAAAGACUUCAAGAGUCUCUCAUUAUAUUUUCUUGUCUUUUCAUUGUGGCUGAUGGCACUGCCCUGGUGCUGUAAUGUCACCAGCCUGCAUGGACUGUGUCCAUUGCUGGACAAGUUUAUUUCAUAAUAAGAAAAUACAUAAAAUCAAGGAAGGGUUAUCCUUAACAAUGAUAAAGUCAAAUAUUAUCAAGGAAAAGGGCACUACCAAGAAUAGGCAUUUUAAUACUUUUUUUUUCACUAUUAAGCCCAGGCUUUUGAGGUAUUAACCAUGCCAGUCAGUUUCUCAAGGCUAAGAUUAAUAAAAGGUUUAAUCAC
rnacentral:lncRNA from 1 species